GGGGGCUUAGCUCAGCUGGGGGAGCAUCUGCCUUACAAGCAGAGGGUCAUAGGUUCGAGCCCUAUAGGCCCCA
rnacentral:tRNA from 1 species